GUUGCUGGUUCUCUAGGGAGCAUGUGCACGCUUGUCAUCUUUAUAUCUCCACCUGUGCACUUUUUGUAGACCUGGAUAAUCUUUUCUGAAUGCACUUGCAUUUCAGGUUUGAGGAAUUGACUUAAUGGUCUCUCCUUACAUUUCCAGGCCUAUGUUUCUUCAUAUACCCCUAUGUAUGUUUCAGAAUGUAACAGGAUGGGCCUUUUGUGCCUAUAAAUUUAUACAACUUUCAGCAACGGAUCUCUUGGCUCUCGCAUCGAUGAAGAACGCAGCGAAAUGCGAUAAGUAAUGUGAAUUGCAGAAUUCAGUGAAUCAUCGAAUCUUUGAACGCACCUUGCGCUCCCUUGGUAUUCCGAGGAGCAUGCCUGUUUGAGUGUCAUUAAUAUAUCAACCUCUUCAGCUUAUGCUUGUUGAGUGUUGGAUGGUGGGGGUUUGCUGGUGUCUUAUGAAGUCAGCUCCCCUGAAAUGCAUUAGCGGAACAAUUUGUUUGACCGUUCAUUGGUGUGAUAAAAUAUCUACGCUAUUGACGUCAGUCAGUUCAGCUUCUAACAGUCCAUUGACUUGAACAAAUUUUCAUUA
rnacentral:rRNA from 1 species